GCCGAUGUAGCUCAAUUGGUAGAGCAGUCCCUUCGUAAGGGAAAGGUUGUCGGUUCAAUUCCGGCCAUCGGCUCCA
rnacentral:tRNA from 1 species